rnacentral:ncRNA from 1 species
ACGGUGACGUUAAGCUUGAAGGAAGCUGAUAGCAAAAUGCAUGUUCAACGAACAGGAAGCGGAUAUGAGGCGGUCUAGACGGGUCUGGGGCAUAGCUACCCAACACCCAAUACUCAUACAGGACCCUAGGACGUAGAUCCGAUGGACAGGCAGGAAAGA